UACGUAGGGUGCAAGCGUUACUCGGAAUUACUGGGCGUAAAGCGUGCGCAGGCGGCUUUGCAAGUCAGAUGUGAAAUCCCCGGGCUCAACCUGGGAACUGCAUUUGUGACUGCAUGGCUGGAGUGCGGCAGAGGGGGAUGGAAUUCCGCGUGUAGCAGUGAAAUGCGUAGAGAUGUGGAGGAAUACCGAUGGCGAAGGCAGCCCCCUGGGAUAACACUGACGCUCAUGCACGAAAGCGUGGGGAGCAAACAGG
rnacentral:rRNA from 1 species